UCUCUGUUAGUAUAAUGGUCAGUAUAACCGCCUGUCACAAGGCCCACCCCGAUCCUUCUAGAUCGCGGUAGAUCUGGGUUCGAUUCCCAGACAGAGAG